rnacentral:rRNA from 1 species
UAGCAGAGAUGCUUUGGUGCCUUCGGGAACUGUGAGACAGGUGCUGCAUGGCUGUCGUCAGCUCGUGUUGUGAAAUGUUGGGUUAAGUCCCGCAACGAGCGCAACCCUUAUCCUUUGUUGCCAGCGGUUAGGCCGGGAACUCAAAGGAGACUGCCAGUGAUAAACUGGAGGAAGGUGGGGAUGACGUCAAGUCAUCAUGGCCCUUACGACCAGGGCUACACACGUGCUACAAUGGCAUAUACAAAGAGAAGCGACCUC